rnacentral:rRNA from 1 species
UACAGAGGGGGCGAGCGUUGUUCGGAAUUACUGGGCGUAAAGCGCGUGUAGGCGGCCAUGCAAGUCGGAUGUGAAAGCCCUCGGCUCAACCGUGGAAGUGCACUCGAAACUGCAGGGCUAGAGUCCUGGAGAGGAAGGUGGAAUGCUUGGUGUAGAGGUGAAAUUCGUAGAUAUCAAGCGGAACACCGGUGGCGAAGGCGGC